GGGAGGGAGAGGUGCCCUAGUCACUGAGACUCAAUUCCUUUUUGAACAGCGUCUGACAUUUAUUGAAAAUCAGGAAAAGACGUUUGUCCAGGUAGUGUAGAAGAGCUGGGCAGAGUGCUGGGGUUACUGUGUUGGACAAAAGGCACACGUCAGAGAGACAGCUGCACAUUCAGAAGAGAACUGGAUUCUGGGCGAAACUAACAGGUCCACAGGAGACAAUGAGUGACUCGACGUGGCUGCCAGGAGCAGGAGCAGGAGCGGGAGCGGGAGCGGGAGCAGGAGAUGUCUCUGGGAGUAGGGAGGGAGUGGGCCCCGCUGACGGUGAAAGGCUGGCCGGCCCCUCCGCGGCGGUGGAGAGCUGUUGCAAUCAUCGUCUCGGGGGGCAGUGAGCAGCUCAGGCACCCCACCCCCCCGGGGGGGUGGUGGUGAGUCCAGAUCCCCGAAGGCUGCAGGGCGUCGGCGGGAGCGAUGC
rnacentral:lncRNA from 1 species